GACGUCACAAGGGUGGGCCUUGAGGCGACGUCACAGGCGCGGGCGUUCGGCUGCGUCACGGAGUUGGUAGUGUCACUAGCUGAGCAGUUUUCUCCUGAGAGUGGAGCAUGGUAACCGCGACCUCCUCUCCAGGUCCUGUGUGUUGCUGGAGAAGGGUAGUUGACAAACUCAACCCAGCGCAGUGUUUAUAUCGGUCAGAAAUACAAAACUAUGUCCAGGCGCGACCAAGGCGGGAGGAUCCCUUCAGGCCACGAGCAGUCUAGCAACAUGGCGCGACCCUGUCUCAGUAGUCCUACCUCAGCUCCCCAGCUACUUGAACCCCAAGGUUCGGGGCUCCAAUGAGCUAUGGUCCCACCACAGCAUUCCAGCCUGCGAGACUGAGAUGAUGAUGAUUCUCCACCUUCUAAGAGACCAAAGACCAUUGAGACACCACAGCCACCAGUCUCGUAACCUGCCAAUGCUGGGCAACAGAAAGUGAGGGAGUUCAACUCUGGCCCUCACAAUCCAGUGGAGGAGACGAAACCCAUCUGCCUCUGUCCCUCUGGGCGCACCUCAUGCCAGGUGCAUCUGUGGACCUGGGCCAUGCUCCUGGGCUUCCGAAGUUGGAGAAAGCUGCCAGGCUCAGUUCUGAAGACCAGAAUUCUAAAGUAAGUCCCACUGAAGCAAGGUGGGAGCAGGGUUGUUGCCUUCCGAGGCUCUGCGGGAGAAUCUGUCUCCUGGCCCUGGAGGUGGCCUGCACUUCUCAGCUUGUGCUGCACGUCCUGAAUGACUGGAGUUUCCUGCUUCCGUCACUACACCUCCCACCCUCUCCAUCACCUUCUCUGCUCUUAUAAGGAUCCGGAGAAAUGGAAUAAUCGUAUUGCUGAUCUACAUAAGCAAGUUGAAGAAUUGUCUGAAAGAAAAUAUGGUAUGUCUAAACUGGAAAAGUCCUGUAAUCCUGUGUUCAUGAGCAUUUACACAGUGGAGUUACUCUUCAUCAUGGGGGUACCGUGGACAGGCCCAGGGCUGCCGGUGAGUCAUGCCUCCUUACACAUUUCUCCUUGUCAGAGAUGAACUCAUGAAUUCAACAGGUGAAGAUUUACAACUUGAUAAAUCAGCUUUGUCAGAGCCACCUAAGCUAAAGAUUCCCUUGAGAACAAGUACUGUCCUGUGGUUUCAUGGCCUUUCUUCCAUUUGUGGUUCUUGCCAAGUGGAAUUUCAAUGACAUCUUAUCAAGAUGGAUAAACCCAAGUUUCCCAGUGCUGGAAUAGAGAAAAUGGAUGGACAAGUAAGUCCCACUCAGCACCCAUAG